UACGGCCAUAUCACAUUGAAACACCAGUUGUUGUCUGAUCACCAAAGUUAAGCAAUGUUGAGCCUGGUUAGUAUCUAGAUGGGUGACUGUUUAGGAAUACUAGGUGCUGUAAG